GGGAAUGUCUGAGUUGUGUUUCAAUGUUUUUGCUAAUAUUUAGAGGUGUAACUGAAUACUCUGGGGAAUUUUUGUGGCCAUUGAUAUGGUUCAUUACUGGAGGCACUCACACUGCCUUCUACCAAAAUGUUGCUGCCUUGUUUAUUAAGACCAUAGUGAAGUCAACAAUGCAAACCUUUGCACAGAAAGGAAGAAGAUAUAAAAGGACUAAAAUCUGUGAGAAGACUAGUAGAGCACAUUCUGCCACAUAGAGGGACAGUCAGAACCACUUAUCUCAGUCCUGUGAACUCCUCACUACCCUCCUGUUCUCUGUUACUACCUUAUUACUCCAGAUUCAAAAGUUGUACUCUCUUGGCAUGUCUUAGCUUUAAGAAGUGAAAACUAGGUCAUCUGUGUUGGCCAUAAUAGAACUAGUAAUUAAUUGUGCGUGUAAAAAAGAUCCUUUCUUGGUGUGAAACCUUUAUUGGCUGACUCUUAUUUGCUUUCUCACAAAUAGCUUUCUCUGACUUAUUUCUGAUAUUCUAGAUAGUUUCUGCCAUACAGAGAACCCAACAGCUAUAUGAUAUUUAUAAUAAAUAAUUAUAUUACAUAUAGCUCCUAAACAAAAAUAAACAAAGGCCACAUCUUCAAACAUCUGAUAGUGUGAUCUCACAUGAUGUGGUCAGGCUACACCGCUUUACAGUCAUUGAUGUUAUAGCCUAUCCUACAAAUUAUCAGACAAGCAAAUAAAUUGAUUUGAUUAUGGUUUGAGGUUAAUUUGUUUCAAAUAAUGUUUUAUGGCACAGAGAAUGAGUUCAAAUAUUAGCAUAAGACAAAUUAUAAAGAGACCUAUCAAAUAGUUAACAUGAAAUUUAUAUUUUUAUUAGGAAUUAAUGCAAAUUGCAUUAGUACAUGUCAUAUGAUAGCACAUCCCUUGAAAUGUAUGUACAACUUGACAUCACAGUCCAUUUUCACAGUUGUUCUUAUAUCCUGACUUAAAAAAAAACAAAACGAAAAAAAAAAACACAACCUUUGGCAUAUGCAUCUGUAC